AAAUGGAAACUGCUUCAAGUUCAAGCCAUAUUUAAAAACACAACCACAUGGGUGGCAGGAAGGAGGGUAACAGCUGUGUUCAAAUAUUUUUCUGAAGGGAUGAACACCCGACCUCAUUCAGCUGUCUCUCUCAAGAGACUGAAGUGGCUCUGUGUGGGUCCUGCUAUGUUUGGACCUGCCCCCAGCCCCUUCCGAGGCCUCUCUGACCCAGUGAAGAUGAUGAAACAUGGUAGCCAGGAGGGGCUGCCCAGAACCUUUUAUUUUCCCAAGGGUGGAAACAGGACCUUACCUUGGGCUCUAACCACAUCUGAUCAUGAAGGGGCUGAGAAUGAAUUCCACACAAGCUGCCACCCAAACUGCCCCUGGGAUCUCUCCGCCUUGGAGGCCAGACAGGUCCUCAUUUCCUGCUCCUGGCACCAGCAGCCCAGCCCCCAGCGAGGAAGAAGCUGGGCUGCCCAGGCCGGCCCUUCCGAGGAACAGCACGGUCACCGGGAGGAAGGAACAUGCGCAGCUUUCCCCCUCCUGCCUUCUUGUUGGCCAAAACUGUGCACGACGAGCUGAAGGGCCAUUUCAAGCCUCGGCAGCGUUUGGGAAAGUGGACAAGGGACUCAUUCAGUGACGUGCAAGUUUGAGCGGAGCCAAGAAUGAAGCAUGGAUUUCACGAAAUGAGGAGUAGCCUUGGACCACACACAGAGCCGGUUCUGAACUGGGGCUGCCUGCCUGCCCCUUCGCAUCACACACACACACACACACACACACACACACUCACACACACACACACACACUCACUCCCUCUCCUCACCCUGACAGACGGCCCUGACUAACAGCAAGAAAGCUCACUGGUGUCCACAUGAGGGCUGCGGGGGUGUCCUGGGCUCGGGCGGCCCUUUGUGAGCAACAAGCUGAUGAAAAAAUGGAUUACUGCAGUGUGUGCACCCCAUCCUAAAGAGAGCUCACACAAAAGGCAGAGCCAGAGCUGUUAGAGAAAACAACGGAGCUGAACAAAAGUUGUUGAAAUCACUUUUGAUUGGGGAUGCAUGAAACAUCCAAGUUUUCCCUUGGAAUGAGGCCCAUUUUUGGAGACUUGCCCUGAGUUCAGCAAGUCCAGAGGAUGCACCUACCCCUAC
rnacentral:lncRNA from 1 species